CCGCUGAACUUAAGCAUAUCACUAAGCGGAGGAAAAGAAAUUAACUAAGAUUGCCCCAGUAACGGCGAGUGAAGCGGCAAAAGCCCAAGCUGGUAAUCUUCGUCCUUCGGGCGACGAGUUGUAAGCUUGAGGGGGGUGGCUCAAAUUGUGGUGACGAAGAAGUUUCCUAGGAUGGAACGCCAUAGAGGGUGACAGCCCCGUAUGUGUCGUCGCCGCUAAACGAGCCCCUUCUUUAGAGUCGGGUUGUUUUGUAUUGCAGCCCUAAUUGGGAGAUAAACUUCUUCUAAGGCUAAAUAUGUAUGGGAAACCGAUAGCAAACAAGUACUGUGAAGGAAAGAUGAAAAGAACUUUGAAAAGAGAGUCAAAAGACUUGAAAUCGUUGAGAAGGAAGCGGUAGAAAUUUAUUCUUCUGGCUGAAACGAGGGGUUCGACCGAACUAUUUUGUUAGCAAGUACUUAAUCGGCUUGUUGGCUUACUUGGGGAAGUCGGGCCCGGGUUUCUGUCGGAGAGGCAAAAUGGGGUUUCUAGUCUUCAAAAGCUUGGCAGGCCUGAGGAGGUUCGCUUUCUAGCCUGCUUCUGCUCGUUGAUUAGGAGCCUGAGGGUGCUUUGUGCGAUUUUGCUAAAAUGGUUUUUACCGACCCGUCUCGAAACACGGACCAAGGAGUCUAACACAUAUGCGAGUGUGCUGGUGGAGAAACCAACACGCGUAAUGAAGGUAAAAGAUGCCAAGCUCCCUGCAGCAUCGACCGACCAUGAUCCUCUGGUGAAAGGUUCGAGUAAGAGCAUAUGUGCUAGGACCCGAAAGAUGGUGAACUAUGCCUGAGUAGGGUGAAGCCAGGGGAAACUCUGGUGGAAGCUCGCAGCGAUUCUGACGUGCAAAUCGAUCGUCAAACUUGGGUAUAGGGGCGAAAGACUAAUCGAACCAUCUAGUAGCUGGUUCCCUCCGAAGUUUCCCUUAGGAUAGCUGGGACAAUAACGCAGUUUUAUCAGGUAAAGCGAAUGAUUAGAGGUAUCUGGGAUAAUUUGUCCUGGACCUAUUCUCAAACUUUAAAUUGGUAAGAACCCUGGCCUUCCUUAAUUGAGGCAUGGGGGAUCAAUGCUUGUCCCUAGUGGGCCAUUUUUGGUAAGCAGAACUGGCGAUGAGGGUUGCUCCUAACGUUGAGUUAAGGUGCCUAACUGCACGCUCAUCAGAUCCUACAAAGGGUGUUGGUUCAUCUAGACAGCAGGACGGUGGCCAUGAAGUCGACUGUGCUUAAUUCACUUG
rnacentral:rRNA from 1 species